ensembl:lncRNA
CACAGACAGACAGCUGAACGCAGCAGUGGGGGAAGAGAGAUUGACAACUAAGAGGGAGAGAUGUUGAGGGAAAAUUAGGAAUGAGGAAUGUUGAUCUAGCCCCUACAGGUCAGGUCACGCUCAAGAUUCAGAUUUUCUGGCAUCGGAGGGAGAGGAACACUGGUAGCUUAGGCUAGCUCCAGUUGUGGACCGGCCAUCUGGCAUACCGGGCAUCGUCCCGGUGGGCGUUGACUUAUUUUAAUUUUGAAAGAAACAACACAUGGAAGCAAUGGAGAACGCCAUCUCGUUCGGUUGUUUAGAAUUGAAAAUCCGGCUGCCAGGACAACGUAACGUUUUCACUUUAGUACUCUAUUUCCAAGUGGGUGCUACAUAUUGGUGGUGGUUAGUGAGGUCCCCCCUUCACUUUAGGCGUCUUUGAGUGUUAUUAAUUAUUAUUAUUCUUCAUGUUUAACCUCUGUUUUCCUUUUAUUCCUAGUCUGUUUUACAUAGUUUUGAAUGAUGACUAUAUGCUCUGUAAGGUGACCUUGGGUGUCUUGAAAGGCGCCUCUAAAUUAAAUGUAUUAUUAUUAUUAUUAUUAUUAUUUGAGUGGAACAACUUAGCAGGUGUCCAUAUAGCCUAUAUAGGGUUAGCCUAAUUGAACUAGUUUAAGAAGAGAAAACAUUUUGACUAAAACUAAUGACUAAAAGUUGACUAAAAUGUAAGGACUUUUCGUCGACUAAAACUAGACUAAAACUACAAAGGAAAACAAUGACUAAAAUGUGACUAAAUAUACUAAAAUUUUUUGUCAAAAGACUAAGACUAAGACUAAAUCUAAAAUAGCUGACAAAAUUAACACUGCGUUGACCAUAUAGCAUGGUAAGUUACCUUAGCCUGGGGCUAGCUAGGCUACAUUAUGAGACAUGUCCAAAACAAAGUAGAAAACGUUUUUACAUUGAAUGUGAUGUGACCUAAUUAAGACUGAGAGACACACACACACAAACACACAGACUGAGACAGCUGAACGCAGCAGUGGGGGAAGAGAGAUUGACAACUAAGAGGGAGAGAUGUUGAGGGAAAAUGGCACAUAGAGAAAAUAAAACUGAUGGGGAGAGAGUGAAGGAGGAAGGGGAGAAGAGAGAGUAUAAAAUAAAUGUGAGCGAAAGAUGGAGUGAGAGACAUGGACAGAUAGUGAGAAGGAUGGAAAGAUAGGAGGUGGUGGAAUAAACAAAUAGUGAGAGAUCAAAUGAGAGAUAGGAGAAGGUAGAGACAGAGAUAGUGAGAUAGACAGACAGAGAGACAGAGAGUGUUAGAGAUGGAGGGAGAUAUAGGAGGAGGUGGAGACAGACCCACAUAGAGGAAUGUUGAUCUAGCCCCUACAGGUCAGUUCACGCUCAAGAUUCAGAUUUUCUGGCAUCGGAGGGAGAGGAACACUGGUAGUUUAGGCUAGCUCCAGUUGCGGACCGGCCAUCUGGCAUACCGGGCAUCGUCCCGUUGGGCCGUUGACCCAAUGUAGGCCGGUCCUGUCCGCUAUGUUUUUUUUUUUUCUCCCUCUCUAAAAUUUCCCCCAAUUGGGCCAGCCAAUUGGCUACAGAGGGCUAGCAGUUGCCAGCAUCGACACAUAUUAUUGGUCUAGUUUGUUAUUGUCAAUCAAUCAUGGUUGGUGCUGAAAAACUGCGACUUAAAAAGCUGAAGUCUCUGGAGGUGGAAGCUGCUAAAUGUUCAAAAUUGACAGACCUAUUUGGUGCCGGGGUUACCACCCAAGCAGGUGCUGCUGCGCCGGGAGACGAGCGAGUGGAGGCAUGUAUCAUGCCCAGACAGGUUCAGGGAAAGUCCAGCUGGUCAGUUCAGGGAGAGAGCCAGACCAAUGCAGGCAGCCCAAAGACUAGACCACCUGAGAGGGAAAAGGCUGUAGAGAGUGAGGAGUGUGUCAGCCUUCACUGCACUAAAGUUUGGCUGUUGAGUCUCCUCUAGUAUGGUUCACCACUUGACAUGCGAGAGCCUGAGGAGUUUUCCCCCCUCCGUCCAUUUUCAAGGACUUGCUCUCUUACUGCCUCCACUUCACCACUUUUUGGCUAAUGAAACGUCUCUGAUUUGUUGAGUUGACCACCCUAUGUAUGAGAGCCUAAGGAGUUGUUUUCCCUCUGUCCCCUUUUGAGGACCUGCUUUGUCUCCUCCAUCAUUAACUGAGCCACUUUUGGGUUCCUGAGCUGAUUUCAUGUGGUGAGAGGAAUGCAAUAUGUGUAUGUUUAAAGGUUUAUGUGAAGAAACAUACUAUAUGUGAUAAAAUGACAAUUGGUUAUUCAUAAAAUUCUCUUUAUAUUCUCUGCUACCAUCAUCUCCUGUCAAACAGGUUUUCCUGACCUGCUAGAAGUUCUUCCAUGAUGCUUGAGAGAGAGAGAGAGAGAGAGAGAGAGAGAGAGAGAGAGAGAGAGAGAGAGAGAGAGAGAGAGAGAGAGAGAGAGAGAGAGAGAGAGAGAUUAAUCUUUACUUUGUGAGUUUAUUAUGCAACUUAUUUUGUCUCAGAUUCAAACAAAAGGUUUGAUUAUGAUAAUUUCCUGGUGAAAAUAUGAUGAUUUUUUAUUUCAAACAUCUGCAUAUCUUUGUGUGCAGAUGUUUGAAUGUGCACAUACACGUAUAUGAGAAUGCAUAUCUACUCAGACCUGUAAUUCAUGUCUUAGACUUUUUCACACAGCUAUAGAUAAUUAUUAUUUUUCUCUAUUUAUGGUUCCAUAAUGACUGAGUCACCGUUAAAAAAAUUUGUUUCAGCUCUAAUGCUGAUACUGUCUGUAAUAUGUUUCUAUUUAGAUUAUUUGUCAGGAUACUUUGUUAUUAUUGUCCGAGUCUGGUUUUAACUAAUGCUGGGCUUACACAAAAAUAUAUUCACAUUCACAGACUAAAAACUGAAAGGGUAGCAUAGGGUUCUUCCUGUUAGUCUCGUCCCACCCCUAGUCAUGACAUAACUUCUGUUUUCAUGUGAUGUGACUAUAAUGAAUAAAGACUGAUUGAUUGAUUGCUAUAGCGGUCAAUUUUAGUCCUUGGGGCCUAUCUUGCAUCCGGCGCAAUUUACUUUCUCACUGGCGCAUGUGUUGUUGCUAGUUAGCAACUGCCGCAGAGUGUUCUUUUCCCUCCUGCGCCACGCGUCGGUAAAUUAGGGAAUGAUCUUGCGCCCCAAGGGGUGGUUCAGCGAAAGGAGGAGGCGUGUUCUGGCGCAAAUGUUCCCUGGGGCUAUUUUGCAGAUUCAGAAAUCACUUUCGCCACAAACCAGGAAAUACCUGGUUUAAAGUCAGUGGCGCGUUGUUCAGAUGCUAUUUUAAGGGCGCAUGCAUAAUGUUGCUUGUGCACCUCGCGCAUACACUUUGCUACUCUCAUCUACCUAGCCACACCUUCUGGGUAAAUUAUUUGGGAAAGAACAGCUGAUACAGCGGUAAUAAGUUGUACUUUUAAAUCAAUGCAUCUGCAAACACCGUACUGCAAAUACAUAUUUUCUUGACACAGACAUCGUGUACAUGCCCAUAACUUUUAGGAUUGAUGAGUAUUUGAUUGUGAGAAAACAUUGUCUUAUUGCGAGUGACGGGUUAAAAAGAAUGAAUGAAUGUGGGUACGAGUGUGUGCAUGUGUACAAUUAUUAAUGAAUGCGGGCGCUCGUUUGUGCGUCCAUCUGUUUAAACACACGCAAACUAAACACGUAACGCAUAAUACAGUCCAUGGCAAAGUAUAAUAACGGGGGGACAUAUGAAUAUUAGGAACACAAGUCGAUAUCGAUAAUGCAUACAAUACUGAUAAGAAACGAUGUUUAUAAUGUAUUGUGUAUAUCAUUAAAUAGAAGCACAGUUACCGCAUAUCAUAUGUGUGUUAAGUUUUCUGAAGUUGUGGGAGAAAAGCUUAUUCCAUGUGUGAAUUAGGCCAUAUUAUUUGUCCAUAAACUGAGCCAUUUGAAGUUUGAUUUCAUGUUCAUCUGUCUCAUCGGAGACUGCAGACGUGCUGUCAAUAUAUCAACUCGUCAGAUUCAAAUGGGGAUGGGAGCUGGCACUCUCAUUGGUUUAUUGCACGUUACGCCCAAACCACACCUACGGGUAAUUAGGCUACUUCAGACCAACCCUUUUUAGAUAUGCGCCGGGCGCAAGAGUAAUUUUUGCGCCGGUAAAAUAGCGACAUCGCCAUAGAACCGCCCACAAAGUUACUUGCGCUUCGCACUUCUCACUUGCGCUUCAGACCGUUAAAAUAGGGCCCCUAGAGUUCAUAUAGUUACGUGCUUUAUUUGUUAACUGCUAUCAAGGAAUAUGACUCUCCUUUGUAGUAUGCCUGAGAGGAGUGUCUGGUGAUAAUGCAGUGGGCUGGUCUGGACAGAAAAUGCUAGGGCAGAAUUUUUGUCCCACUCCACCCCAGGCGAGCUCACACAUGUCUUCCACACACACGUGCAUAAUAUGGCGCAAUAUAACUACAGGCUGGGCCAAAGGCAAUAAAGUAAAUAGCUAAACAAGUAGAGGAGCACCAGAUGUGUGAUUGAGUGGCUUGAGAGCAUUGAAUAUUGACUUUGUUAUUACACGUAGGGGCAGGGGAGAGAGUUUCUGAAGAAAGUAA